rnacentral:rRNA from 1 species
AUUGAACGCUGGCGGCAUGCUUUACACAUGCAAGUCGAACGGUAACAGGCCGCAAGGUGCUGACGAGUGGCGAACGGGUGAGUAAUGCAUCGGAACGUGCCCAGUCGUGGGGGAUAACGCAGCGAAAGCUGCGCUAAUACCGCAUACGAUCUAUGGAUGAAAGCGGGGGACCGAAAGGCCUCGCGCGAUUGGAGCGGCCGAUGUCAGAUUAGGUAGUUGGUGGGGUAAAGGCUCACCAAGCCAACGAUCUGUAGCUGGUCUGAGAGGACGACCAGCCACACUGUGACUCAGAAACGGCCCAGACUCCUACGGUAGGCAGCAUUGGGGAAUUUUGGACAAUGGGCGCACGCCUGAUCCAGCAACGCCGCGUGCAGGAAGAAGGCCUUCGGGUUGUAAACUGCUUUUGUACGGAACGAAACGGUCCUGGUUAAUACCUGGGGCUAAUGACGGUACCGUAAGAAUAAGCACCGGCUAACUACGUGCCAGCCGCCGCCGUAACAC